CGGAUGUAGCCAAGUGGAUCAAGG
rnacentral:tRNA from 14 species